AGUGAACGCUGGCGGUAGGCCUAACACAUGCAAGUCGAACGGCAGCACAGUAAGAGCUUGCUCUUACGGGUGGCGAGUGGCGGACGGGUGAGGAAUACAUCGGAAUCUACUUUUUCGGGGGGGAUAACGUAGGGAAACUUACGCUAAUACCGCAUACGACCUACGGGUGAAAGCAGUGGAUCUUCGGACCUUGCGCGAUUGAAUGAGCCGAUGUCGGAUUAGAUAGUUGGCGGGGUAAAGGCCCACCAAGGCGACGAUCCGUAGCUGGUCUGGGAGGAUGAUCAGCCACACUGGAACUGAGACACGGUCCAGACUCCUACGGGAGGCAGCAGUGGGGAAUAUUGGACAAUGGGCGCAAGCCUGAUCCAGCCAUACCGCGUGGGUGAAGAAGGCCUUCGGGUUGUAAAGCCCUUUUGUUGGGAAAGAAAAGCAGCAGGUUAAUACCCCGCUGUUCUGACGGUACCCAAAGAAUAAGCACCGGCUAACUUCGUG
rnacentral:rRNA from 1 species